rnacentral:rRNA from 1 species
AGAGUUUGAUCCUGGCUCAGGACGAACGCUGGCGGCGUGCUUAACACAUGCAAGUCGAACGGAGGUUACUUUGAAACGCAAGUAGAUAGGUAACCUUAGUGGCGGACGGGUGAGUAACGCGUGGAUAACCUGCCUGAAUGACCGGGACAACACCGGGAAACUGGUGCUAAUACCGGAUACGCUCUUGGGAGCACAUGCUUUUGAGAGGAAAGGAGCAAUCCGCAUACAGAUGGGUCCGCGUCCCAUUAGCUAGUUGGGGGUGUAAGAGACCACCAAGGCGACGAUGGGUAGCCGGCCUGAGAGGGUGGACGGCCACACUGGAACUGAGACACGGUCCAGACUCCUACGGGAGGCAGCAGUGGGGAAUCUUCCGCAAUGGGCGCAAGCCUGACGGAGCAACGCCGCGUGAGUGAAGAAGGCCUUCGGGUUGUAAAGCUCUGUCUUCAGGGAAGAAAAAAAUGACGGUACCUGAGGAGGAGGCCCCGGCUAACUACGUGCCAGCAGCCGCGGUAAAACGUAGGGGGCGAGCGUUGUCCGGAAUUACUGGGCGUAAAGGGCGCGUAGGCGGUCAUUUAAGUCAGAGGUGAAAACUACCGGCUUAACCGGUAGCCUGCCUUUGAAACUGGGUGACUUGAGGGCAGGAGAGGGGAGUGGAAUUCCCAGUGUAGCGGUGAAAUGCGUAGAUAUUGGGAGGAACACCAGUGGCGAAGGCGGCUCUCUGGCCUGUUUCUGACGCUGAGGCGCGAAAGCGUGGGGAGCGAACGGGAUUAGAUACCCCGGUAGUCCACGCCGUAAACGAUGGGUGCUAGGUGUAGGAGGUAUCGACCCCUUCUGUGCCGUAGUUAACACAAUAAGCACCCCGCCUGGGGAGUACGGCCGCAAGGUUGAAACUCAAAGGAAUUGACGGGGGCCCGCACAAGCGGUGGAGCAUGUGGUUUAAUUCGACGCAACGCGAAGAACCUUACCAGGGCUUGACAUAUUAUUGACCGAUAUAGAGAUAUAUCUUUUCCUUCGGGAACAGUAAUACAGGUGGUGCAUGGUUGUCGUCAGCUCGUGUCGUGAGAUGUUGGGUUAAGUCCCGUAACGAGCGCAACCCUUAUUUUUAGUUGCUACCAUUAAGUUGAGCACUCUAAAGAGACUGCCGUUGAUAAAACGGAGGAAGGCGGGGAUGACGUCAAAUCAUCAUGCCCCUUAUGUCCUGGGCUACACACGUGCUACAAUGGUCAGUACAGAGGGCAGCAACACAGCGAUGUGAAGCUAAUCCCUAAAAGCUGAUCUCAGUUCGGAUUGUAGGCUGCAACUCGCCUACAUGAAGUCGGAGUUGCUAGUAAUUGCAGGUCAGAAUACUGCAGUGAAUGCAAUCCUGGGUCUUGCACUCACCGCCCGUCA